rnacentral:rRNA from 1 species
UGGGGAAUAUUGCGCAAUGGGGGAAACCCUGACGCAGCCAUGCCGCGUGAGUGAAGAAGGUCUUCGGAUCGUAAAGCUCUUUCAACGGUGAAGAUGAUGACGGUAGCCGUAGAAGAAGCCCCGGCUAACUCCGUGCCAGCAGCCGCGGUAAUACGGAGGGGGUUAGCGUUGUUCGGAAUUACUGGGCGUAAAGCGCACGUAGGCGGACCAGAAAGUUGGGGGUGAAAUCCCGGGGGCUCAACCCCGGAACUGCCUCCAAAACUAUUGGUCUAGAGUUCGAGAGAGGUGAGUGGAAUUCCAAGUGUAGAGGUGAAAUUCGUAGAUAUUUGGAGGAACACCAGUGGCGAAGGCGGCUCACUGGCUCGAUACUGACGCUGAGGUGCGAAAGUGUGGGGAGCAAACAGGAUUAGAUACCCUGGUAGUCCACACCGUAAAACGAUGAAUGCCAGUCGUCGGGUAGCAUGCUAUUCGGUGACACACCUAACGGAUUAAGCAUUCCGCCUGGGGAGUACGGUCGCAAGAUUAAAA